rnacentral:rRNA from 1 species
UGGGGAAUUUUGGACAAUGGGCGCAAGCCUGAUCCAGCCAUGCCGCGUGCAGGAUGAAGGCCUUCGGGUUGUAAACUGCUUUUGUACGGAACGAAAAGGUGCCUUCUAAUAAAGGGCGCUCAUGACGGUACCGUAAGAAUAAGCACCGGAUAACUACGUGCCAGCAGCCGCGGUAAUCCGUAGGGUGCGAGCGUUAAUUGGAAUUACUGGGCGUAAAGCGUGCGCAGGCGGUUUUGUAAGACAGAUGUGAAAUCUCCGGGCUUAACCUGGGAACUGCGUUUGUGACUGCAAGGCUGGAGUACGGCAGAGGGGGGUGGAAUUCCACGUGUAGCAGUGAAAUGCGUAGAGAUGCGGAGGAACACCGAUGGCGAAGGCAAUCCCCUGGGCCUGCACUGACGCUCAUGCACGAAAGCGUGGGGAGCAAACA